UAGGGAAUUUUCCACAAUGGGCGAAAGCCUGAUGGAGCAAUGCCGCGUGAGUGAUGAUAGGUCUUCGGAUUGUAAAACUCUGUUAUAAGAAAAGAAUGUGCUAAUUAGGAAAUGAAUUAGUAAGUGACUAUCUUAUCAGAAAACCACGGCUAACUACGUGCCAGCAGCCGCGGUAAUACGUAGGUGGUAAGCGUUAUCCGGAAUUAUUGGGCGUAAAGGGUGCGCAGGCGGUCUAUAUAAGUCUAAGGUAAAAUCUUGAAGCUCAACUUCAAGCAGCCUUGGAAACUGUUAGACUAGAGGAUAGAAGAGGGCAACGGAAUUCCAUGUGUAGUGGUAAAAUGCGUUGAUAUAUGGAGGAACACCGGCGGCGAAGGCGGUUGCCUGGUCUAUCACUGACGCUCAUGCACGAAAGCGUGGGGAGCAAAUA
rnacentral:rRNA from 1 species